rnacentral:rRNA from 1 species
GAUGAACGCUGGCGGCGUGCUUAACACAUGCAAGUCGAACGAAAAGGCCCUGCUUUUGUGGGGUGCUCGAGUGGCGAACGGGUGAGUAAAACGUGUGUAACCUGUACUUGAAUUUGGGAUAACUUUACGAAACUGGGGCUCUUACAGGGUAGGAGCUUUUGCUGCACGGUGGGGGAUGGUAAAAUUCGGCGGUAGGGGCUGGAUUAGCGGCUUAUCCGCUUGUUGGUGGGGUAGUGGCUGACCAAGUCUAUGAAGGAUAGCCGACCUGAGAGGUGGGACGGCGUCAUUGGUACUGCGGGACGCACCAGACGCGUACGGGACGCAGCAGUCGGGAGUAUUGCGGAACGGCCGGAAGCCUGAGACAGCAACCCCGCGUGCGUGAUGCCGUCCUUCUAGUUGUAAACCGCUGUCUCCGUUGACGAAGCCUGAGUGACGGUAAUGAGUAAAGAAGCACCGGCUAACUACGUG